rnacentral:snoRNA from 1 species
UGGAAAUUAUGAAAGGUAAUAGGAUGUUUGAGUGGUAUGCAUGAUUGGAAACAUUCUAACUUAACACUUAAUUUAUACUUUUGAAUAUUAAUAUGUUAUAAUGUGUUUUUUUGAGAGAGAAUGUACGAAGGCUACAUGGGGGCAUUGAUAAAGUGCUGAUUUCGGAGUGCAUCUGAGGCAUGUUGAAAUUUUGGGGAGGGAGUUUCCUUGUUUUGUUUGGGGUUUUUUGGGGUUUUUUUUUUACAACAUUGCCAGUGAUUAGUGCCCAAAAUAAGCUCACCAGCUGAAUAUAGACAGCCUAAAAAUCUCUAAAAGGUUCAUUGACAUAAAUGAUCCUGUGAUUUGAUCCAA